AGAGUUGCAAAGGUCAACGGAGAGUCUUGGGGGUAAACCAGGAGUUGUAGGGAUUGACCAAGAGUCUUGGGGGUCAACCAAGAGUUGUGGGGGUCAACCAAGAGACUUGGGGGUCAACCAGGAGUCCUGGAGGUCAACCAAGAGUCUUGGAAGUCAACCGAGAGUUGUGAAGGUCAACGAAGAGUCUUGGGGGUAAACCAAGAGUUGUAGGGGUUGACCAGGAGUCUUGGGGGUCAACCAAGAGUGGUGGAGGUCAACCAAAAGUCUUGGAGGUCAACCAAGAGUUGUGGGCGUCAACCAGGAGUCAUGGAAGUCAACCAAGAGUCUUGGAGGUCAACCAAGAGACUUGGGGGUCAACCAAGAGUCCUGGAGGUCAACCAAGAGUGGUAGAGGUCAAGCAGGAGUUGUAGGGGUCAACCAAGGGUCAUAGAGGUCAACCAAGAGUGGUGGAGGUCAACCAAGAGUCUUGGAAGUCAACCGAGAGUUGUGAAGGUCAACGAAGAGUCUUGGGGGUAAACCAAGAGUUGUAGGGGUUGACCAGGAGUCUUGGGGGUCAACCAAGAGUGGUGGAGGUCAACCAAAAGUCUUGGAGGUCAACCAAGAGUUGUGGGCGUCAACCAGGAGUCAUGGAAGUCAACCAAGAGUCUUGGAGGUCAACCAAGAGACUUGGGGGUCAACCAAGAGUCCUGGAGGUCAACCAAGAGUGGUAGAGGUCAAGCAGGAGUUGUAGGGGUUGACCAGGAGUCUUGAGGGUCAACCAAGAGUUAUGAAGGUCAACCAAGGGUCAUAGAGGUCAACCAAGAGUGGUGGAGGUCAACCAAGAGUUGAGGUGCU